GUGAGAUAAAAGCUGGCUCUAACUUUGCCUUCACUGAUCAGGACUCUUCAGUUCAAUUUGUCAAAAUGAGGCUCCCUCUUCAGCUCCUGGGGCUGCUCCUGCUCUGGAUCACUGGAUCCACAGGAGAUGUUGUGAUGACCCAGACCCCACUCCUGUCCAUCAGCCCUGGAGAGAUGGCCUCCAUCUCCUGCAGAUCCAGUCAGAGCCUCCUCUAUAGUGAUGGAAACACCUAUCUGCAUUGGAUGGUGCACAAGCCAGGCCAGGCUCCUCGGGGCAUGAUUUAUCAGGUUUCCAACCGGAAUUCUGGCAUCUCAGACAGGUUCAGUGGCAGUGGGUCAGGGACAGAGUUCACACUCACCAUCAGCAGGGUGGAGGCUGAGGACGCCGGAGUUUAUUACUGUUGGCAAGGUUCACAUGCUCCUCCCACAGUGAUACAGCCCCGAACACAAACCUCCCUGCCUGGGGAGGCCCAGCUGCCCUCGUGCGCUGCUGUCUGGGGAGCAGCACAGCAGUCUGUUCUGUGUGAGAGGAAGAGGCUGAAGAACUCAGAACAACAAGCUGCAGCUGAGGCCUCUGCCCAGGACAGAGAGUGAGGGAGACAACAGGGCUGCGGGGACCUGAGCUCUGGUGAGGACGGGACACAGAGAGAGAAGGAUCGAGCUGCU